GGAUAUUUACCUGUGUUGUCUCCUUCUGUGUGCUGACCCUCCUCCUGUUUGCCCUCCUUAAUGUUACUGGAGCCUUUUCCAAUAUCGGACUCUCAUCACUUAAUUAAGCCAAGAGCGAGUGAGAAAGAGAGAUGGGAGGAGGAGAUGUGAAGAGAGAGAGACAGCCUCUAUUUACAUCUGGCUGAACAUCAGCGAGCCAUCGGCGUCGCCAGCUUCACAGGCCUGGCGUGGCCCUCUCUCAGCCCCGCUGCCCUCUGCCUGUGACGGGAAUCCAUCGUGACAGGAUACCAGCAGCACCACCGACUGUAAACAUGGCGGCGUGCACAGCCGGAUGCCUGUGCUGUGUGCCCUCUUACUGAAGCCCCGAUCAUCGACACACUUCCAUGAUGGAGACAGAGGAGGAGCAGCAUAUGACCACGCUGCUAUGCAUGGGCUUCCCAGACCCGGUGGCCAUCCGGAAAGCCCUGCGCCUGGCCAAAAACGACAUCAACGAGGCUGUCGCGCUGCUCACCAACGAAAGCCCGGGACUCGGAUACGGCUACGAGCCGAUGGAAAGCGGCCCUUCCCCGGGCUCCGGCCUCAGCGGAGACGGCGAGAACAGCGGGCGCACGGGCACCGGAGGGUUUGAUCCUCCGCCUGCGUAUCACGAUGUCGUGGAAAGUGAGGUAUGCUUAUGAAACGCAUGCAUUUGUAAUCAUUCGCACGGUUGCUUGAGGCGGAACCACCGGGGCUGUCAAAAACCGGAGGGAAUGGCGCGCGUACGCCUUUAUCGCCUCUGCAUAAGCAUGUAUUACCUGUUGUGCAUGUGCAUGCAACACCUGACAGGGAUGUCAAGAUAUGUUCUCUUAACGUUGCAUUCUUUAUGCAUGCAUUAGCAGGUCACGAAUAAAUUCAGCAGAGGCAUUCAUUCACAUGGCAGCAGAAGUUGUAGGAUCUUGGGGGAUGGGUGUCGUAGAUUGCAUUUAAACGCGUGACUUUGUCAGAGUUUACUUUGUUUUUGUUUGCGCGUUGAAAGAAGCGUUCAGCCAAUGGAGUGUUUUUCCUCCUGAUCAAUUAUUAAACUAAUGUCUGUCUUUGCUGGUGAGAAAUAGGAGGAAACGUGUGGCUGAUGAUUUACAUGGCAGGUUGUUGGACCAUCAAGUGUCAUUAGAUUCCAGCAUGGCAUCUGUUAUGUUACCUCUGCAAUGAAGCCAAUAUUCGCCAGUGUUACUGGGUUGAAUUAAACCGACUGAUGAG